GGCGAACGGGUGAGUAACACGUGGGUAAUCUGCCCUGCACUCUGGGAUAAGCCUGGGAAACUGGGUCUAAUACCGGAUAGGACGAUGGUUUGGAUGCCAUUGUGGAAAGUUUUUCGGUGUGGGAUGAGCUCGCGGCCUAUCAGCUUGUUGGUGGGGUAAUGGCCUACCAAGGCGUCGACGGGUAGCCGGCCUGAGAGGGUGUACGGCCACAUUGGGACUGAGAUACGGCCCAG
rnacentral:rRNA from 1 species